CACAAGCGGUGGAUGAUGUGGAUUAAUUCGAUGCAACGCGAAAACCUUACCUACCCUUGACAUGCCAGGAACUUGCCAGAGAUGGCUUGGUGCCCGAAAGGGAGCCUGGACACAGGUGCUGCAUGGCUGUCGUCAGCUCGUGUCGUGAGAUGUUGGGUUAAGUCCCGCAACGAGCGCAACCCUUGUCAUUAGUUGCCAUCAUUCAGUUGGGCACUCUAAUGAGACUGCCGGUGACAAACCGGAGGAAGGUGGGGAUGACGUCAAGUCCUCAUGGCCCUUAUGUCUUGGGCUUCACGCAUGCUACAAUGGCCGGUACAAAGGGCUGCGAUACCGCGAGGUGGAGCGAAUCCCAGAAAGCCGGUCUCAGUUCGGAUUGGGGUCUGCAACUCGACCCCAUGAAGUCGGAGUCGCUAGUAAUCGCAGAUCAGCAACGCUGCGGUGAAUACGUUCCCGGGCCUU
rnacentral:rRNA from 1 species